rnacentral:rRNA from 1 species
CCUACGGGUGGCUACAGUGGGGAAUAUUGCGCAAUGGGCGAAAGCCUGACGCAGCGACGCCGCGUGAGGGAUGAAGGUCUUCGGAUCGUAAACCUCUGUCAGCAGGGAAGAACGGUCACUGUGCUAAUCAUCAGUGAAUUGACUGUACCUGCAAAGGCAGCACCGGCUAACUCCGUGCCAGCAGCCGCGGUAAUACGGAGGGUGCGAGCGUUAAUCGGAAUUACUGGGCGUAAAGCGCUCGUAGGCGGUAUGUCAAGUCAAGGGUGAAAGCCCCGCGCUCAACGUGGGAACUGCCUUUGAUACUGGCAAACUGGAGUGUGUGAGAGGAUAGUGGAAUUCCAGGUGUAGGAGUGAAAUCCGUAGAUAUCUGGAGGAACAUCAGUGGCGAAGGCGACUAUCUGGAACAUAACUGACGCUGAGGAGCGAAAGCGUGGGUAGCAAACAGGAUUAGAUACCCCGGUAGUC